rnacentral:rRNA from 1 species
AGAGUUUGAUCAUGGCUCAGAACGAACGCUGGCGGCGUGCUUAACACAUGCAAGUCGAACGCGAAAGGGACUUCGGUCCUGAGUAAAGUGGCGCACGGGUGAGUAACGCGUGGAUAAUCUACCCAAUGAUCUGGGAUAACAUUUCGAAAGGGGUGCUAAUACCGGAUAAGACCACGGAGUCUCUGGGCUCUGCGGUAAAAGGUGGGGACCUUCGGGCCUACCGUCAUCGGAUGAGUCCGCGUACCAUUAGCUAGUUGGUGGGGUAAUGGCCUACCAAGGCUACGAUGGUUAGCUGGUCUGAGAGGAUGAUCAGCCACACUGGAACUGAGACACGGUCCAGACUCCUACGGGAGGCAGCAGUGGGGAACUUUGCGCAAUGGGGGAAACCCUGACGCAGCAACGCCGCGUGAGUGAUGAAGGCUUUCGGGUCGUAAAGCUCUGUCAGAGGGGAAGAAAUGUAUAGGUGCCAAUACCACUUAUACUUGACGGUACCCUCAAAGGAAGCACCGGCUAACUCCGUGCCAGCAGCCGCGGUAAUACGGAGGGUGCGAGCGUUGUUCGGAAUUAUUGGGCGUAAAGCGCGUGUAGGCGGUCUUUUAAGUCUGAUGUGAAAGCCCUGGGCUCAACCCAGGAAGUGCAUUGGAUACUGGAAGACUUGAAUACGGGAGAGGGUAGUGGAAUUCCUAGUGUAGGAGUGAAAUCCGUAGAUAUUAGGAGGAACACCGGUGGCGAAGGCGGCUACCUGGACCGAUAUUGACGCUGAGACGCGAAAGCGUGGGGAGCAAACAGGAUUAGAUACCCUAGUAGUCC